rnacentral:rRNA from 1 species
UAGGGAAUUUUCGGCAAUGGGGGAAACCCUGACCGAGCAACGCCGCGUGAGUGAUGAAGGCCUUCGGGUUGUAAAGCUCUGUUGUAAGGGAAGAACGGCGAUGAUAGGGAAUGAUCAUCGAGUGACGGUACCUUACCAGAAAGCCACGGCUAACUACGUGCCAGCAGCCGCGGUAAUACGUAGGUGGCAAGCGUUAUCCGGAAUUAUUGGGCGUAAAGGGUGCGUAGGCGGCCAUUUAAGUCUAAGGUGAAAGUUCGAGGCUCAACUUCGAAUUGCCUUAGAAACUGGAUGGCUAGAGUGCAGGAGAGGGCAAUGGAAUUCCAUGUGUAGCGGUAAAAUGCGUAGAUAUAUGGAGGAACACCAGUGGCGAAGGCGGUUGCCUGGCCUGUAACUGACGCUG